rnacentral:rRNA from 1 species
GAUGAACGCUGGCGGCGUGCCUAAUGCAUGCAAGUCGAGCGAACAGACGAGGAGCUUGCUCCUCUGACGUUAGCGGCGGACGGGUGAGUAACACGUGGAUAACCUACCUAUAAGACUGGGAUAACUUCGGGAAACCGGAGCUAAUACCGGAUAAUAUAUUGAACCGCAUGGUUCAAUAGUGAAAGACGGUUUUGCUGUCACUUAUAGAUGGAUCCGCGCCGCAUUAGCUAGUUGGUAAGGUAACGGCUUACCAAGGCAACGAUGCGUAGCCGACCUGAGAGGGUGAUCGGCCACAGUGGAACAGAGACAGGGUCCAGCCUCCUGCGGGAGGCAGCAGUGGGGAAUCUUCGCCAAGGGGCGAAAGCUUGACGGAGCAACGCCGCGUGAGUGAAGAAGGUCUUCGGAUCGUAAAACUCUUUUAUUGGGAAAGAAAAAAAGUGUAAUAAAAUCUCCCUGUUUUGACGGUACCUAAUGAAAAAGCCCCGGCUAACUACGUG